rnacentral:rRNA from 1 species
AGUGAACGCUGGCGGUAGGCCUAACACAUGCAAGUCGAACGGCAGCACAGUAAGAGCUUGCUCUUACGGGUGGCGAGUGGCGGACGGGUGAGGAAUACAUCGGAAUCUACUUUUUCGUGGGGGAUAACGUAGGGAAACUUACGCUAAUACCGCAUACGACCUACGGGUGAAAGCAGGGGAUCUUCGGACCUUGCGCGAUUGAAUGAGCCGAUGUCGGAUUAGCUAGUUGGCGGGGUAAAGGCCCACCAAGGCGACGAUCCGUAGCUGGUGUGAGAGGAUGAUCAGCCACACUGGAACUGAGACACGGUCCAGACUCCUACGGGAGGCAGCAGUGGGGAAUAUUGGACAAUGGGCGCAAGCAUGAUCCAGCCAUACCGCGUGGGUGAAGAAGGCCUUCGGGUUGUAAAGCCCUUUUGUUGGGAAAGAAAAGCAGCAGGUUAAUACCCCGCUGUUCUGACGGUACCCAAAGAAUAAGCACCGGCUAACUUCGUG